AUUGAACGCUGGCGGCAUGCUUUACACAUGCAAGUCGAACGGUAACAGGCCGCAAGGUGCUGACGAGUGGCGAACGGGUGAGUAAUGCAUCGGAACGUGCCCAGUCGUGGGGGAUAACGCAGCGAAAGCUGUGCUAAUACCGCAUACGAUCUAUGGUUGAAAGCGGGGGACCGUAAGGCCUCGCGCGAUUGGAGCGGCCAAUGUCAGAUUAGGUAGUUGGUGGGGUAAAGGCCUACCAAGCCGACGAUCUGUAGCUGGUCUGAGAGGACGACCAGCCACACUGGGACUGAGACACGGCCCAGACUCCUACGGGAGGCAGCGGUGGGGAAUUUUGGACAAUGGGCGCAAGCCUGAUCCAGCCAUUCCGCGUGCAGGAAGAAGGCCUUCGGGUUGUAAACUGCUUUUGUACGGAACGAAACGCGCUGAGCUAAUACCUCGGCGUAAUGACGGUACCGUAAGAAUAAGCACCGGCUAACUACGUGCCAGCAGCCGCGGUAAGAC
rnacentral:rRNA from 1 species